GAUGAACGCUGGCGGCGUGCCUAAUACAUGCAAGUCGAGCGAACAGACGAGGAGCUUGUUCCUCUGACGUUAGCGGCGGACGGGUGAGUAACACGUGGGGAACCUACCUUUAAGACUGGGACAACUUUGGGAAACGGGUGCUAAUACCGGAUAAUAUCUUGAAACACAAGGUUCAAUAGUGAAAGAUGGAUUUGCAUCACCUUAAGGAUAGAUCCGGUCGUAUUUGGCAAUUGGUUAAGGAAAGGGUUAACAAAGGCAAGGAUGAUUAACCACCCUAGAAGGGGAAUCGCCCACAUGGGAACGGGAACACGCUCCAGACUCCUCCGGGAGGCACCAGAAGGAAAUCUUCCGCAUUGGGCGAAAGCCUGACGGAGCACCGCCGCGUGAGUGAUGAAGUUCUUCGGUUCGUAAAACUCUGUUAUUAGGGAAAAACAUAUGUGUAAUUAAAUAUGCACGUCUUGACGGUACCUAAUCAGAAAGCCACGGCUAACUACGUG
rnacentral:rRNA from 1 species